AACGAACGCUGGCGGCAGGCUUAACACAUGCAAGUCGAACGCACCUUCGGGUGAGUGGCGCACGGGUGAGUAACGCGUGGGAAUGUACCCUUUAGUACGGAAUAGCCUCGGGAAACUGGGAUUAAUACCGUAUACGCCCUUCGGGGGAAAGAUUUAUCGCUAAAGGAUCAGCCCGCGUGAGAUUAGAUUGUUGGUGGGGUAACGGCCUACCAAGUCGACGAUAUCUAGCUGGUCUGAGAGGAUGAUCAGCCAAACUGGUACUGAGACACUGACCGGACUCCUACGGGAGGCAGCAGUGGGGAAUAUUGGUCAAUGGGGGCAACCCUGAACCAGCCAUGCCGCGUGAGUGAUGAAGGCCUUAGGGUUGUAAAGCUCUUUUAUGAGGGAAGAUGAAGACGGUACCUCAAGAAUAAGCCCCGGCUAACUUCGUGCCAGCCGCCGCCGUAA
rnacentral:rRNA from 1 species